AAAGGAAAACUUGGUCAGGCCUUGGGCCGGGCCCCAAAGGGCAGCGGAAAAUUACCGUGGGACUAUU
rnacentral:ncRNA from 1 species